AGACGUGAGAGUGAUCUGGCUGUGACAUCUGUCACCCUGAUGAGCUGAUGGUCGCCAGGGUUGAUUUGUUUGAUCUGGCUGGCUAAUCCCCUUCAUCCCUCAUCCCUCCAGAAGCUGCAGGUUCAGUGCUCCGACAGAGGAGGACCAUUCCUCAGUCAAGGGCAUGUGAGUACCUGUGCUCCCCUGCUGAAACCUCCAAACAAGCUCUCCAAACUGGUGUUACAGCUCGGUGGUAAAGCAUGUGUUCAGUGUGCACUUGGGUUCAAU
rnacentral:snRNA from 1 species